GAUCAUGGCUCAGAUUGAACGCUGGCGGAACGCUUUACACAUGCAAGUCGAACGGUAACGCGGUGAGAAGCUUGCUUCUCACCGGCGACGAGUGGCGAACGGGUGAGUAAUACAUCGGAACGUGUCCGCUCGUGGGGGACAACCAGCCGAAAGUUUGGCUAAUACCGCAUGAGUUCUACGGAAGAAAGAGGGGGACCCGCAAGGGCCUCUCGCGAGCGGAGCGGCCGAUGACUGAUUAGCCGGUUGGUGAGGG
rnacentral:rRNA from 1 species